rnacentral:piRNA from 1 species
UGCCAGAGCUACAUAGUGAGACCUUAUCUC